GAUGAACGCUGGCGGCGUGCCUAAUACAUGCAAGUCGAGCGAACAGAUGAGGAGCUUGCUCCUCUGACGUUAGCGGCGGACGGGUGAGUAACACGUGGAUAACCUACCUAUAAGACUGGGAUAACUUCGGGAAACCGGAGCUAAUACCGGAUAAUAUAUUGAACCGCAUGGUUCAAUAGUGAAAGACGGUUUUGCUGUCACUUAUAGAUGGAUCCGCGCCGCAUUAGCUAGUUGGUAAGGUAACGGCUUACCAAGGCAACGAUGCGUAGCCGACCUGAGAGGGUGAUCGGCCACACUGGAACUGAGACACGGUCCAGACUCCUACGGGAGGCAGCAGUAGGGAAUCUUCCGCAAUGGGCGAAAGCCUGACGGAGCAACGCCGCGUGAGUGAUGAAGGUCUUCGGAUCGUAAAACUCUGUUAUUAGGGAAGAAAAAAUGUGUAAGUAACUAUGCACGUCUUGACGGUACCUAAUCAGAAAGCCACGGCUAACUACGUG
rnacentral:rRNA from 1 species